AUGGCGCUGCAGUACGUGGAGGCGCAGCGGCAGGCGCGGCCGGACCUCGCCGACUGGUACGCCGACCUCGCCGACCUCUACCAGCGCAAGCUCUGGCACCAGCUCACCCUCAAGCUCGACCAAUUCCUCCAGAUCCCGGCCGCACAGACUGGCGACACGCUCAUACAGCUCUACAACAAUUUCAUCUCCGAUUUCGAAACAAAAAUCAAUUUGCUCAAACUCGCCCAGUUCGCGGUCAUAGGGUCGCGCCAAUAUCCCGACAAGGAUGCCGCCAUCACCUUCCUCGAGGGGAUAAUCACAAAGCUUCGUGAGACCAGGGAGCUGCGGAUCAAUGAGCCUAUCCUUCACGUCAAGAUGCAGAUCGCGGCAAUUCACCUCGACAAAGGGAACCACAAGGAGUGCAAGAACCUGCUGGAGGAAGGGAAGACCACCCUGGAUGGCAUGACUGAUGUGGAUCCAACAGUCCACGCUAGCUUCUACUGGAUAUCGUCUCAGUACCAUAAGUCGCUCCAAGAGUUUGCUGAGUUCUAUAAGAACGCACUUCUCUAUCUGGCCUACACAACCGUAGGGUCCCUCUCAGAGUCAUUCAAGCUGGACUUGGCAUUUGACCUUUCCCUUGCAGCCUUGCUGGGGGACAACAUCUACAACUUCGGGGAAUUGUUAGCUCACCCUAUUAUCAAUAGUCUUAUUGGGACCAAGGUGGAGUGGGUCUAUCACAUGUUACAAGCGUUCAACACCGGCAACCUAGCUCUCUACCAAGAGCUUUGUGGGGUUCACAAUGCUGCUCUUAGUGCACAGCCUGCAUUGGUGCAGAAUGAACAGAAACUGCUUGAGAAGAUCAAUAUUCUGUGUCUGAUGGAGAUAAUCUUCAGCCGGCCAUCAGAAGAUAGAACUAUCCCAUUAAGUGUUAUUGCCAAGCAGACUAAGCUUUCAACCAGCAAAGUGGAAUGUCUUCUUAUGAAGAGCCUCUCGGUUCAUCUCAUAGAAGGAAUCAUCGAUGAAGUUGACAGCACGGUUCAUGUUUCGUGGGUCCAGCCUAGAGUACUUGGCAUCCCACAGGUGAAGGCGUUGCGUGAGCGCCUGGACUCGUGGGUAGGCAAAGUGCAUACCACGCUGUUGUCCAUCGAGGCAGAGACCCCCGAUCUCGUGGCGGCUUAG
rnacentral:rRNA from 1 species